rnacentral:lncRNA from 1 species
AUAUAUCGUUGUUGCCAAAUGACAAUUGCGCCGUCGAGUCGCCGCGUUCAGGUGCUUUAAUAAGAGUGGAUUCCCAGGUCCAUUUAAAAAAGAUAUUUAAAAAAAAAUAAAUUAAAAAACCACAAAUAUUGUUGACUUUAUUAUCUGCACCAGGCGCAACCCAUUAACUGUGCACCACCCUGAGCCUCAAAAUUAAUGUUGGUGUUCUAAUGCGUGCAUGGUCAUGCAGUUUAACCACGAAAAUGCUUUUAUAUUACAAAUGACAACACAUCAGUGAAUGUUUGUUUCACAAUUAAUGUUGCACAACAAUGAACUGUGUAUUUGAUUUAAUUGUCCAGUUCUGCAAAGCGGUUCUCCUGUACAUUUUAUGUUCUUUUAAAAACUGAGAUUUGGGGCUUUAAUUAAUUUCGUUAAUUUGACUUUCUCCUGAGUCAUCUUCAUAAUCCAUUUUUCUCUGCCGAAAUAGUAGAGAGAAAUUAGAGAUGCACGAACAAUACUAUUUGUACACUCAAAAAUAGAUAUAAAUUUUAUAUCUUUUUCAUCCAUAUAUAAAUUUUUACACAUGCAUUUUAUCGCUCUUUUUUUUUAUAAUGCUAGAAAUUUUUUAAAAAAUGUCUAAACUAUUGGACCAACAAAAAAAAAAAUGUUAGAUGUAUAAAUAGCAUUUUUAUAUGUCAAAAGGAAUAGAAAUAAAAAAAAAAAAUUUGUUCAGUAAACUAAAAUAUUUGAGUAUUUCCAUUUGGCAAUGGAGAGGAGCAUUAAAUGAGCAUAGAAAUCAGUGUGCAUGAGACAUGCAUGCCAGGCAGGCGUGCCAGUCAUCCACCCUUCUUUCCAAGCAGCAAAAUUAAACUUCGACUCAUUAACCAAACACAUCCUUAAUUAACACCAAAGUAAAUAAUGUUAUUAACAAUAAUUAAUAACCCCCCCCAAAAAAAUCAUAAAGAUUAUUUAGUUACAACGGCAAGGUGGCUAUAUUGGGAAACAACAGCGAACUAUAUCUAAAGAUUAAAAAAAAAAAACCCUUGUUAAUACUGUAACCAAAUGUGAGAGUGAUCGAUAUAAACGUUGGUGGACUCAUAAGUUAAGAAACUAUACAAAUCAUCGCGUAUUCUGUAGUGUACAAAAAAAAGGAAAAAAAAGAAAGAAGAGAUCAAAGAAGCUAAUUAAGAUACUAUAUAUUCAGAAGCAAAGCAAAAUAGACACUAGAGAUGAAAAACCAAAAGGAAACUGAUGAAAUACCAAAUACAGUUCCGUGUGCUCUAGAGAUUUUGUAGAAUUAGUUAAUAAAAGUGGGUUUGAUCAUAGGGUAAAGAAACAGGGGAAAAAAGAGAAAAAAAAAAGGCGGAGAUGAUGGAGGUGAAUGUGGGAAUGGCUCGUCGCAUUCCACAUGCAUGCAUGCAAUGGUUUUGGAAAAUUAGCCAUUGAUGGGAUUUAGCAGAGUUAUGUAUGAGAACAAAUAAAUUACGGUGCUACUCAUGGAUACACACACACACACUGCGUGCAAAUACACACACACACACACACGCACACACACACUGCGUGCAAAUAUAUAUACACACACACGCACACAGUGCAUGCAUGUAACUGGGAUUCAUAUAUACACUAUAUACAUUACCGGAGUUGUUGGUUCUUUGGACCCCAUUCGAGCGCGAGUAUCCUGCAUUACCACCUACCAUUUCUCUCUCUCAGUUUCUCUCUCUCUCUCUCUCUUUCUCUCUCUCUCUCUCUCUCUCUCUCACACACACACACACACACACACA